AUAUGUAGAUUUUUUUAAAUUGGACGUAUUGCUAUUUUUAUCCUAGUCGAAAUUAUGAAACGAAACGUUUUGACAGUCCGUUUGCCAAUAAGCAGUGAUCAGUUUCUUUUGUUUGUUUUUCUAUUGUUUACCUACUAUAUUAGAUGAUGACUUACCUCCAAAACGUUUUAAAACUUUCGUUUAUAAUUCUAAGUGUGUUUAUAAUUAAAGAGCUACAGUGAAAUAAAAUGAAUUCUUCAAGAAAGGCAGCACCCAUGACAAAAGAUGAGACGAUGAUUCUAGCAGAACUUGUGGCGGCGAAAAAACAUUUCAAUAAUAAGGCAACAAAUGCCACAAACAAUAAAUUGAAGGAGCAGGCUUGGCAAACCCUUGUAAAUGAUUUUAAUUCGUCGAUUCGUCGUUUCCCACGAACUCCAUCGCAGCUUCGACUAAAAUGGGAAAACUUAAAGAACGCUACGGCAACAUAAGAAACAACCUUAGUAAGGCUGGAGGUGGUAAGGAUUGCAGAUGAAAUUUUGGAUAAAGCAUGCACAUUGUUGUAGGUCACAUAUAAUAUUUUUAACACUUUUACAGCCAAGCUUACUUUUACAACAGGAAACAAGAUGGGAGAAAAGAAAUGCAAGGCUAGCAUAGGGACAAUGCAUUAGCAGAAUAUCUAAUAGCAAAAAAGAGACUUGACUUGGAAAAUAAAGAAAAGGAGAUUGUUGUAGCAAAAGUUAAGUUAGAUUUAGAUAAUUUAAAAAAUUAAAAAUUACUUAAAAGGAAUAUUAAAUUUCAUAAAUUAAGUAGGCAAUAAUAAUUUUAUGUUAGAUAGUUUUUUAAGUAUAUGUACAAAUUCUAAAUUAAAAUCUUGCAUGUACUAACUACCAUGUAAUUAUCAUUUUGGAAAAUAAAAAAUAGUCAAAUUAUCUUUGGAGUUUAUUUUAUAAAUUAUCUUUGGAAGCAAUUAUUUAUAAGUACAUAGUUGUAUUUCAGAUGUAAGUUUUGAAAAAUUGUUACGAACAAUUAUAUUAUUUUCCUGUAAUGUAUCUGCGACUGAAAUUUCUGAUUCUAAUUCUUCUAAAUUCAUACUUCUGACGAUAUUAUGCAGCAUGGCAGCUAUAAUAACAGCUUGCAUAUUUUCUAGUUUUAAUCUACUUUUCAAUGAUAUACAGG